AACGAGCGCUGGCGGCAGGCUUAACACAUGCAAGUCGAGCGCCCCGCAAGGGGAGCGGCAGACGGGUGAGUAACGCGUGGGAAUCUACCCAUCUCUACGGAAUAACGCAUGGAAACGUGUGCUAAUACCGAAUACGUCCUUCCGGAGAAAGAUUUAUCGGAGAUGGAUGAGCCCGCGUUGGAUUAGCUAGUUGGUGGGGUAAAGGCCUACCAAGGCGACGAUCCGUAGCUGGUCUGAGAGGAUGAUCAGCCACACUGGGACUGAGACACGGCCCAGACUCCUACGGGAGGCAGCAGUGGGGAAUAUUGGACAAUGGGCGCAAGCCUGAUCCAGCCAUGCCGCGUGAGUGAUGAAGGCCCUAGGGUUGUAAAGCUCUUUCACCGGUGAAGAUAAUGACGGUAACCGGAGAAGAAGCCCCGGCUAACUUCGUGCCAGCCGCCGCCGUAAAAC
rnacentral:rRNA from 1 species